CCUACGGGGGGCAGCAGUGAGGAAUAUUGGUCAAUGGGCUUACGCCUGAACCAGCCAAGUCGCGUGAGGGAAGACUGCCCUAUGGGUUGUAAACCUCUUUUGUCAGGGAGCAACGCCGGCUACGUGUAGCCGGACUGAGAGUACCUGAAGAAAAAGCAUCGGCUAACUCCGUGCCAGCAGCCGCGGUAAUACGGAGGAUGCGAGCGUUAUCCGGAUUUAUUGGGUUUAAAGGGUGCGUAGGCGGAAUGCCAAGUCAGCGGUAAAAUCGCGGGGCUCAACCUCGCUCCGCCGUUGAAACUGGCGUUCUGGAGUGGGCGAGAAGUAUGCGGAAUGCGUGGUGUAGCGGUGAAAUGCAUAGAUAUCACGCAGAACUCCGAUUGCGAAGGCGACUAUCUGGCACAUAACUGACGCUGAGGAGCGAAAGCGUGGGUAGCAAACAGGAUUAGAUACCCGUGUAGUC
rnacentral:rRNA from 1 species